AACGAACGCUGGCGGCAUGCCUAACACAUGCAAGUCGAACGAACCCUUCGGGGUGAGUGGCGCACGGGUGCGUAACACGUGGGAACCUGCCCUUAGGUUCGGAAUAACAGUUAGAAAUGACUGCUAAUACCGGAUGAUGACGUAAGUCCAAAGAUUUAUCGCCCAGGGAUGAGCCCGCGUAGGAUUAGGUAGUUGGUGAGGUAAAGGCUCACCAAGCCGACGAUCCUUAGCUGGUCUGAGAGGAUGAUCAGCCACACUGGGACGGAGACACGGCCCAGACUCCUACGGGAGGCAGCAGUGGGGAAUAUUGGACAAUGGGCGAAAGCCUGAUCCAGCAAUGCCGCGUGAGUGAUGAAGGCCUUAGGGUUGUAAAGCUCUUUUACCCGGGAUGAUAAUGACAGUACCGGGAGAAUAAGCUCCGGCUAACUCCGUGCCAGCCGCCGCGGUAAUAC
rnacentral:rRNA from 1 species